GGUGAACACAUGUUGCGUUACUAUCAAUAAGAAAAAGAGCAAUUUAAAAGCUCAGGAGAAAAGCAGCAGAAGAAAGUCCUGAUCCAUAUACAAAACAUUUUG